GCGAACGCUUCAUGAAGACCAUGUCUCGACCAUUUGGCCCCAAUUUUGAAAGCAGAGCAUGUCAGAGACGAGUGAACAACUCUUCGCAGCCCUCUAUCACUUUCAUCACCCAAGGCACUUUAAGUCAUGAUAACAACGGUUGUUUUCCUUACUUUUGAGACCGUUACUUUAAAUACCCCGAAUUUGGGGUAAUAUAUGGUAUCUUAAUAUUAGUGUUAGUAUUGUAAGUAGUGUAAAUAUAAUAUUAUAAGUAGUACUAGUUUUGAAUUGUAAAGAGUGUUCGUAUUGUAAAUAAAUUUAAAAAAUAAAUAAAU